rfam:Pelecanus crispus contig87146, whole genome shotgun sequence.
UCCCUGGUGGUCUAGUGGUCAGGAUUUGGCAUUCUCACUGCUGUGGCCUGGGUUCGAUUCCCAGCCAGGGAA